rnacentral:rRNA from 1 species
UACGGAGGGUGCAAGCGUUAUCCGGAUUUACUGGGUUUAAAGGGUGCGUAGGUGGGUCUGUAAGUCAGUGGUGAAAUCUCCGGGCUUAACCCGGAAACUGCCAUUGAUACUAUAGAUCUUGAAUAUCCUGGAGGUGAGCGGAAUAUGUCAUGUAGCGGUGAAAUGCUUAGAUAUGACAUGGAACACUAAUUGCGAAGGCAGCUCACUACGGGAUUAUUGACACUGAGGCACGAAAGCGUGGGGAUCAAACAGG